GGGCCAGAAGCAAUGGAUUGUGCUCCUGAGAGACUGCAGUUGUUCUCUAAUCUCUUUUCAGACAGAGCACUGAGCAGGGAUAUGAAUGAGGAAGACAAGCAGAUAGUUAAGAAUGGUGUAAAUCAGGAAGAAGUGACCCAGGAUACAGAAGGUGGAAAUGGGGGGCAGCCCAACAACUCUUCCAGCAGCACUAAAGAAGACAAAACUGCUGAUGAACCUGUCAUGGAACCAGGAACGGACUUGGAACAGUGCAUAGCUGCAGAGGAAGAUCCUAAAGCAUAACCAAAUUAUUGCGUUGUUGCCCAAAGAAAUAUGGAAGAGAAGCAAUAGAAAUCAAUGAUGAAGGAGGUGCUACCUUUUCCCUUGAAGGGCUUCCACAAGCAAUGAAGUUGUCAGAGCUUCAUCGAGAAGUAUUUGAAAGUAUUUUAAAGACUGAACUGUUUCCAGUGCCUAUUUUUCUGUUCCUUAGGAAUGACAGCCUUCUUUUUCUAGUGCUACUAUGUGAAAACACAUAGGCCAAACCAUGGACAAAAUCUUUUCAAUUGUUGUAUAUGAUUUUAACAAACCAUAUGGUUCAGCAUUUAACAAACCUUAUGGUUUGUUAUAUGGUUUGUUUUAUAGUUAUUUUUACUAACACACUAAAGCCUCUUUGUAGUUGAUAUUUAGAGAUUUAAAGUUUUAUAUAUUUGCAUGAAUGUGGAAAAAUCAAAAACUGGUCAGCUUUCACUUUUUUAUCAGUGCCUUUUACAGUCAGAAAAAACCUUCAUCCUUCAGCAGGUCCAGAUGGGUGGAAGUUUGCAUUUUCUAAUCUUGGUUCUAGACAAAGCUAUGUCCUAGAGUUGCUAGAUGCCUGGCAAACUGAUCAUGUCCUGACAGUCUUUCAUUCUGUGAUAAAAUUACAUUUCAACUUGUUGCACUGAUUAUUAACAACAGGUUUGGGCUUUUCCUAAAGCUUUUUAUAUUUUUUUAACUUUUAGGCUUUUUAAGCCUUUGCACUUCAUAUUUUCUAAGAAUGUCAUCUCACUACUACUCAUUCCUAGGAAAUAAUAGUAUGUUUUUAAGUUGAUUGAGAGUAGAACAAAAACUUGAAAACUGGGGUUGUGUAUAUAAUGAAUUUUAAAAAGAAUCAAAAAGAAAAACACCAUGCAUUAAUGCUUCCAGAACAUCAAGCUAUGGAGUGUUUUUCAUUAUGUUUACAUGCUGGUUGUUUAUGAAAGUUGAAAGCCAGUUUAGUUGAGUUUGAGCAUGGUAUAUAUAAAGAAUCAUGAAGGUUUGACACUGGUAACCAGAGAUCAGAAGCUUCAGGUUUUCCCUUGUUUCAAUUUAUGCCCUUUCCACUCCCUCAAUUUCUUGUUCUAUUUGAAGCUGUACUGCACAAGUCUACAGAUUGUACACUGUACAUUCAAGCCACAUUUGGCAGGACUUCUGUCUACUACUUUUUGUAAAUAUUUAUAAUUUAUUAAAAAAAUACUUAAGUUGUAAAAAACUUUGUCAUGUCUUCUUGUAAUAUAUACAUGCGUUUUUUAAAUUUAACCUUAAAAGUUACUAACUGAUCCCCAAAAUAAUCUUAACCAGAGUGAUGUAUUUUAUACGGGUUUUUAUUUGUUUGUUUGGUUGCUGUGUUUUGGAAGAUCAGUAUUCCUGACCCAAGUGUCCUUCCCUGUUCCACCUUCAAUAAAUUUAUCAGGAUAAUGCUGUCUGCUUCUUAA
rnacentral:lncRNA from 1 species